AAACUUAAAUUUGUUGUGAUUAGCAUAUUCAUAAUUUAAAGGCAAAUCCAUUAUUUCAUCAAUUUCAAUUGAAUCGAAUAGCUUGUAACAUGUCAAACAUUUCGGGACCCCGAAGCACCGCAGGGCAACCUUCAUCAUAUGGAAAAGUUGUUUAGCAUGUACAAAUUAUUAUGCAAAAAUGUGUAAAACAUGUCGACAAAGCUUACGGAUUGAAAUUGAUUGGGACAAUGCGAGUGAUGCGAGUGAGGGCAAGCCCAUAUUUGAAAACUAAUUAGAGCCAAACGACAAUGGUAACAGCUAACAACUGUGAAUCGUGUAAUGUGGCUCAUUACAACAUCGUUUCAUACAAAUACAAGUGUGUGUGUGUGUAUAGACCUCACUUCAUGACAAAGAAACUACAACAACAUUGACAAAUUUAGGCGUGAGCUCAAGGCUAUACACGAUAAAUUUCAAGAUACCCGCAUUUCUAAACCUUUAGCAGUUU